rnacentral:rRNA from 1 species
ACGUAUGUCGCGAGCGUUAUCCGGAAUUAUUGGGCAUAAAGGGCAUCUAGGCGGCCUUUCAAGUCAGGGGUGAAAACCUGCGGCUCAACCGCAGGCCUGCCUUUGAAACUGAUAGGCUGGAGUACCGGAGAGGUGGACGGAACUGCACGAGUAGAGGUGAAAUUCGUAGAUAUGUGCAGGAAUGCCGAUGAUGAAGAUAGUUCACUGGACGGUAACUGACGCUGAAGUGCGAAAGCCGGGGGAGCGAACAGG